UCUAACACUAACUUUUGAAAAUAUUGAGGAUUCCAAUAGACAUUCUAAGCAUUGACUUUAUUGAAUAACUGAAUAAAAUCAAUAUAUUAUAAAACUAAAUUUUAUAUAUUCAAAUGAAUCUGGUUGUUUGUGUAACAAUUUUGCCCAUUUACUUGCUGUCUACAAGCCAAGCUAAUGAUUUUGAUUUAGCAGACCCACCCGAUAUCUCAGGAAUGUUGUGCGAUACUUGUGAGGCGAACAGAGGUUGCAAAAUAAGCCAAACUGGUUACAAUUGCAUGUUUGACUCCGAUCAAACGGCAAUUGCAAAUCACACCGGGGAUUCGGUUACCCCGCCGUAUCUCUUACAAUGCUUACCCAGAGGCUUUUUCAUUCAACGACAAAUAUCUUCACUUUGCUGCCAGUGGUCCCCGAAAACAGGAUGUACUAUGAUCAAGAAUAAUAUGGUGGCCAAUGAAAUUGACUGCACGUUUUGCGCGAGACUAGAGGAGAUCGAUGGGAAGCCAGUUCAAUCGUAUUGUCCUUGCAAAGGUAGCUAUCUCAGAUCUGGUCCUAUUUUAAUAAAGUUCAUUCUGGCUCUAAUAGUCCAAGGCUCAAAUACUUUAACUAUAUAAUAUUUCCUUUGACUUUAAACUAAAAUUCUGUGCACCAUUUGA